rnacentral:rRNA from 1 species
ACGUAGGCAGCAAGCGUUGUUCGGAAUUACUGGGCGUAAAGAGUGUGUAGGCGGUGCUCUAAGUCUGUCGUGAAAUCUCCCGGCUUAACUGGGAGGGUGCGGCGGAUACUAUUGUGCUAGAGGGUGGGAGAGGAAAGCGGAAUUCCUGGUGUAGCGGUGAAAUGCGUAGAUAUCAGGAGGAACACCUGCGGUGUAGACAGCUUUCUGGACCACUUCUGACGCUGAGACACGAAAGCGUGGGUAGCAAACAGGA